UACGUAGGUGACAAGCGUUGUCCGGAUUUACUGGGCGUAAAGAGCGCGCAGGCGGUCGAUCAAGUCGAGUGUGAAAGCCCCCGGCUCAACUGGGAGGGUCGACGCGAUACUGAUCGACUCGAAGGCAGGAGAGGGAAGUGGAAUUCCCGGUGUAGUGGUGAAAUGCGUAGAUAUCAGGAGGAACACCUGCGGUGUAGACGGCUUACUGGGACCAUAACUGACACUGAGAGACGAAAGCCAGGGGAGCAAACGGGA
rnacentral:rRNA from 1 species